UACGAAGGUCCCAAGCGUUAUCCGGAUUUAUUGGGUUUAAAGGGUGCGUAGGCGGAUUAUUAAGUCAGUGGUGAAAGCCUUCAGCUUAACUGAAGAACUGCCAUUGAUACUGAUGAUCUUGAGUAUGAUUGAGGCGGGCGGAAUGUGUCAUGUAGCGGUGAAAUGCUUAGAUAUGACACAGAACACCGAUUGCGAAGGCAGCUCGCUAAGCCAUAACUGACGCUGAUGCACGAAAGCGUGGGGAGCAAACAGG
rnacentral:rRNA from 1 species